AAAACUGCCUUACUUUCAGCAGGAGACUGCACAGCCACCUGGUAUUAUCAGUGCCUCCACUGGGAAAGCAGCUGUUCCGGGUAAAGAGAAUGGAGCUGGCAGUCGCAGACAGUCACAGACGCUGCUCUCCACCGACGCACCGAUCUUGGAAAUUAAAGGCAGCCUGGCCCAGCAGCAGUAUUUACAAGGGCUGCAGAAAGAGAACAGCUUGUUACAGGAGAAGCUGAAAAACAGCGAGCAGCUGAAUGAGACUCUGCGCACCGAAGUGGAUCUGCACCGCUCGAUCAUCAAGAACAGAGAGGACACCGGGGGAGAGAGAGGCUUGUCACCUAAACCUCUGGACAGGUCCUCAAGAGAAGACAGGGCCAGCGCAGGACUGACAGAAAGCAGGAAUGAGCCGUCUGGACUGGUGAAUACAGACCUGCUUGCAGAACAUCUUCAGGAAAUCCGUAGUCUGAGGCAGCGCUUAGAGGAGUCCAUCCGAACGAAUGACCGGCUAAGGGAGCAGCUUGAGCGCAGGCUGGCCGAAGCUGAACCGGACCCAGCUUCUACGAAUAUAUUUAUCCGC